rnacentral:rRNA from 1 species
GACGAACGCUGGCGGCGUGCCUAAUACAUGCAAGUCGAACGCAUUUUCUUUCACCGUAGCUUGCUACACCGAAAGAAAAUGAGUGGCGAACGGGUGAGUAACACGUGGGUAACCUGCCCAUCAGCGGGGGAUAACACUUGGAAACAGGUGCUAAUACCGCAUAAUUCCAUUUACCGCAUGGUAGAUGGAUGAAAGGCGCUUUUGCGUCACUGAUGGAUGGACCCGCGGUGCAUUAGCUAGUUGGUGGGGUAACGGCCUACCAAGGCUGCGAUGCAUAGCCGACCUGAGAGGGUGAUCGGCCACACUGGGACUGAGACACGGCCCAGACUCCUACGGGAGGCAGCAGUAGGGAAUCUUCGGCAAUGGACACAAGUCUGACCGAGCAACGCCGCGUGUGUGAAGAAGGUUUUCGGAUCGUAAAACUCUGUUGUUAGAGAAGAACAAGGAUGAGAGUGGAAAGUUCAUCCCUUGACGGUAUCUAACCAGAAAGCCACGGCUAACUACGUG